UUUGGAAGCAGCUUCAGCGCAUCAUCCUUCUUCUUUGGUGUAAGAUGUUCUGUAUGAGGGAACACAAGACUCAAGGACCGGACUCAAGGCCAAAGAGUGAUCCCUGAUGGAGAUUAUUGCAACUGGAAUCUGUUGAGAAAGAAGCUACAUGCACAUCUCCAAAGUGCUGAGUCACCAUGUUGGAAUGCCUCAGGGUGUCACACGGUUUCCCCCUUGUCAAAAUGAAGUCUUUGGAAGAGUCUGCACUUCUCAGAAUUCACUUUUGCAAAGUUAAAUUGCCUAAAAACUGUAAAAUAUGCUGAGAUGCUGCUGCAGAAGAUACCAUGCCAUGGACACUGCAAAGGGGUAUUACAACUGUGGGGAAGAUGAAUGGGAACAGAAGAGUUUCAGUGACAGGUUAUCUGCAAACAGAAUGUGAGGCAGAAGGACAUCUUCUGGGAGUAAUUUAAUUCUCUCUGAAGAGUUAUACCUGCUGCGGAUGCCAGCUGAAUGUUUUGUUCCACCCAACAACUUGAGUUGUUCAACUUGAAGGUCUGUACGAUGAUUUUUAAAACUUUUUUCACAUCGUCAUUUCAGAUAGAGACAGGAUCUCAUUAAUGCUGUAGCAGGAUGGGAAUAAGCAGUUGGAAUAUGCCAGUAUAGGGCAAUUCUGCCAUUUUUGUAACAAGCAUAUUACUGUGGUAUCAUUAAUAAUGUUUGUCACAAUAAUGUGAUUUAUUCAUGUGUGAACCAUAGUAUCUGAAACCAGCUGUCAUGUGCCAGAGCAGCUAUGGAACACAACAACCCCAACCAGAAAAAGUCCUGAAAAUGCUGCUCCUUGGGGAUUAAUGUCUAUGGCAAGGGCUGCAUUCUUACAUUUACUAUCAGGCUUUCACCACCAUUCCAAUGAUUCUGAAACCAUUUUCCAAAUUAUGAUAAUGUUCUGAUGAUAACCUAUUUGAAAAGGAUUUUUUUCUCCUGCUAUGACACAUUUUUCUCCAGCUGUUGGUAACAAUGUAAGGCUGAAGACACAAACCUAGUGUGUCUUUAUUAAACAUGUUUCAGUGUUUAACAUAGCUCUCUGGUGAAAUCAGGUGCAGAAAACGUUUCUUCUUAUUUAAAAGAACUCACUAAAAUGUCUGUCUUACUCUUGCUGAGCUUAGUUUUCUUUGGAACAUUCUGACUUUCUCCUAGCAGGAAUUUGUGGAACUGAACUUAAUAUCUGACACUGAUCACUGUGGUGAUAAUCUCAGGAGGUAGAUACCACUCCUAAAUAUAAAUAUUGAAUGACAAUCUCCAGAAAGAACAUUUAGAAUAUUACAUAAAAGUGAAAGAUGUUGUUCUGAAUCCAUUGAUUGAAAUAUCCUGUAUUACAUCACAUUUAGGACAGAUUUAAUAUUACUAAAUAUUUUUUCAAUAUUUCAUUGGCAUAGAUAUUUUAAAUCCCCCUUAAAUUCUAAGAAAAUUAUAAACUAACACCAAUGACAAAGACACUAGUUAGUAAUUUCUUAAAGUCAUGGAAGAACCCAAGUGGCCAAAGUGUAUUAGGGAAUAUUUUAUGAUUCAGAUAUCUCUAGGGUAGACCAUGCCACAAAAAGUGGUAUAGCACUCUUAGUUCCUCUGUAGUGGAAUCUCAUUUGCUGACCUUCUAUAUUUUUUAUUAUUUGAAUCAAUGUGAUUUUUCAUAAGACAAUACAAUGCAACUAUCGUACAGAAUUAGAAUGUUGCCUAGAUAAGACACAAAGCCUUAAAUUCAAUGGCAAUUUAAUGCCUGUGCCAUUUUUUUGUUUUCAUCUGCUCUGAUUUUUUGAGGCAGGCCUCUCCCAGAAAUGUUGAUGCAUACAAAGCAAAUACAUAAAACUCACGUUUUGCAAAGCCAAGUGUGACAUCCUCAUGCUACUCAGAAAUCUGAAAUUUCUGAAGAUGCUGAUUUGUCUUAGGAAGAGUAAUAUAAAAAGACCUAUGGUGAUAAAUAUUUGCCAUGUUGCCACACACACCACUCUGAAGUGGUGAAGUAACAUAAGGCCAGGUGCAUUGUCAGGGGUUGGACUGGACUGGGCUAAAUGGACACACACCUUGUCCCAGUCUUUCGCCUGAAGACAUGACUGCAAAGGAGAGUUUGGAAUUCAAUUUAAAACUGUCCUUCCUCAGAGCUGAAAUCUGAUUCAAAUCCUACACAGUUAAAGGUCAAGAUACUGCUAAUAAGUGAUAGUGAUAUGUGAUGCAGAGGGCACCAAAAUAACUAAAAAUCACAGUUAGAUUUAACUGUAUGACUUUUCAGAAACCACAAAAU
ensembl:lncRNA